GGCAGCCGCUGCUCGGUGGCGGCGGAGAGUGGGUUGGGGCGGGCAAAGGGAGACCCGACGCCUCGUUGACGGGCGCUUGAGACCGCCUGUAACCCCCCUGGGGAGGGUCAGUGCCGUGCCCACUCCCCAGACCCCUCGCUGGGGUCGGUCCCAGGGCCCGGGGCUGCGUGUCCCGGUCCCGGCAGCCGCUGCGGGCUGGGGCAGCGCCGCUCUGUGACAGCAGAAAGUGGCUGGAAAGGGGCGAGGCGUCACACGCUCUGCCUCCGGGAGGCAGGGAAACGCUGAGGGACCGAUGGGAAGGCAUGAAUGAAUGAAUCUCCAUAAAGAGCCCCAAGCAGCAGGGAGAGGGAGAGAGGAGGAGGAGGAAAGAGGAGGAAGAAGCAGAAGGAGGAAGAAGGAAGAAGAAGGAAGAGCCGGAGCAGGGCAGGCAGCAGCAGCAGCAGAUGUGACGCCGGCAGCUCCAACUAUGAUCACUGCUUAA
rnacentral:lncRNA from 14 species